CAGCAGUGAGGAAUAUUGGUCAAUGGACGCAAGUCUGAACCAGCCAUGCCGCGUGCAGGAAGACGGCUCUAUGAGUUGUAAACUGCUUUUGUAUUAGGGUAAACUCAGGUACGUGUACCUGACUGAAAGUAUAAUACGAAUAAGGAUCGGCUAACUCCGUGCCAGCAGCCGCGGUAAUACGGAGGAUCCAAGCGUUAUCCGGAUUUAUUGGGUUUAAAGGGUGCGUAGGCGGUUUGAUAAGUUAGAGGUGAAAUACCGGGGCUUAACUCCGGAACUGCCUCUAAUACUGUUGAACUAGAGAGUAGUUGCGGUAGGCGGAAUGUAUGGUGUAGCGGUGAAAUGCUUAGAGAUCAUACAGAACACCGAUUGCGAAGGCAGCUUACCAAACUAUAUCUGACGUUGAGGCACGAAAGCGUGGGGAGCAAACAGGAUUAGA
rnacentral:rRNA from 1 species